rnacentral:rRNA from 1 species
GAUGAACGCUGGCGGCGUGCCUAAUACAUGCAAGUCGAGCGAACGGACGAGAAGCCUGCUUCUCUGAUGUUAGCGGCGGACGGGUGAGUAACACGUGGAUAACCUACCUAUAAGACUGGGAUAACUUCGGGAAACCGUAGCUAAUACCGGAUAAUAUUUUGAACCGCAUGGUUCAAAAGUGAAAGACGGUCUUGCUGUCACUUAUAGAUGGAUCCGCGCUGCAUUAGCUAGUUGGUAAGGUAACGGCUUACCAAGGCAACGAUGCAUAGCCGACCUGAGAGGGUGAUCGGCCACACUGGAACUGAGACACGGUCCAGACUCCUACGGGAGGCAGCAGUAGGGAAUCUUCCGCAAUGGGCGAAAGCCUGACGGAGCAACGCCGCGUGAGUGAUGAAGGUCUUCGGAUCGUAAAACUCUGUUAUUAGGGAAGAACAUAUGUGUAAGUAACUGUGCACAUCUUGACGGUACCUAAUCAGAAAGCCACGGCUAACUAC